AUUGAACGCUGGCGGCAGGCCUAACACAUGCAAGUCGAGCGGAUGAGUGGAGCUUGCUCCAUGAUUCAGCGGCGGACGGGUGAGUAAUGCCUAGGAAUCUGCCUGGUAGUGGGGGACAACGUUUCGAAAGGAACGCUAAUACCGCAUACGUCCUACGGGAGAAAGCAGGGGACCUUCGGGCCUUGCGCUAUCAGAUGAGCCUAGGUCGGAUUAGCUAGUUGGUGAGUUAAAGGCUCACCAAGGCGACGAUCCGUAACUGGUCUGAGAGGAUGAUCAGUGACACUGGAACUGAGACACGGUCCAGACUCCUACGGGAGGCAGCAGUGGGGAAUAUUGGACAAUGGGCGAAAGCCUGAUCCAGCCAUGCCGCGUGUGUGAAGAAGGUCUUCGGAUUGUAAAGCACUUUAAGUUGGGAAGAAGGGCAGUAAGUUAAUACCUUGCUGUUUUGACGUUACCGACAGAAUAAGCACCGGCUAACUUCGUGCCAGCCGCCGCAGUAAAAC
rnacentral:rRNA from 1 species